GCUGCGGGGGGCGGGGGCUGCGGGGCGCGGGAGCGGGUCCCGCGCGGCGGUGAUGGCGGCGCUCCGCGCUCGGGGCCGGCGGUGGCUGCUGUGCAUGUGCGCGGCGCUGGCGCUGCUGCCGCGGGCGUCGCGGGGCCUGACCGAGGGCCUGUACUGCGGGCGCCGCGUGUGCUACGAGGUGCUCGGCGUGAGCCGGCAGGCCAGCAAGGCGGAGAUCGCCCGCGCCUACCGGCAGCUGGCGCGGCGCUACCACCCAGACCGGCUCCGCGGGCAGGGCGGGGCGCAGGCGGCGCACGACAAGUUCCUGCUCAUCGCCACCGCCUACGAGACCCUCAAGGAUGAAGAAACUCGUAAAGAUUAUGACUACAUGUUGGAUCACCCUGAGGAGUAUUACAGGCAUUAUUAUCACUACUACAGCAGGAGAUUGGCACCUAAAGUGGAUGUCAGAAUAGUGAUUCUAGUUACGGUGUGCGCCAUCUCCGUGUUUCAGUUCUUCAGCUGGUGGAGUAGUUACAAUGAAGCUAUCAACUACCUAGCGACAGUGCCAAAAUACCGUAUACAAGCUACUGAGAUUGCCAGGCAACAAGGUUUGCUCAACAAGACUAAAGAAAAAGGCAAGAACAGGCGGUCUAAGGAAGAAAUUCGUGAAGAAGAGGAAGAAAUCAUCAAAGACAUUAUUAAAAAUAAAAUAGAUAUAAAAGGCGGUUACCAGAAGCCCAAGAUAUACGAUAUCCUCCUAUUUCAGAUCCUUCUUGCUCCUUUUUACUUGUGCAAAUACAUAGUUUGGUACUGUUGGUGGAUUUAUUGUUUCAGUAUUAAAGGUCAAGAGUAUGGGGUGGAAGAGAAGCUGUAUAUCAUACGAAGGUACAUGAAAAUGUCUCAGUCUCAGUUUGACAGCCUAGAAGAUCAUCAAAAAGAGACCUUUCUUGAACGGCAGCUAUGGAUACGAGAAAACUAUGAGCUUUCUCUCACAGCAGUGAAAGAACAUUAGCCACAGCAUGGAAUUGCAGUCCAGAACGUCUUGGGAUGCCGGGGGGUGGCAGAUUGUCAAAACACUUUUAUUGUUACACAGAAGCUCAUCUGUGGGCCAUCUGGAUGAGAGGUUUCUAGAAAAGAAACUGCGAAUACGAACUUGGCCUGCGUAAGGGAAAGAGGAGGUGCUGCUGCUGCUCUUCAUACUCUGGGAAAUGAGAUGGCAUGGUGGCAAAGCUGCUUUUGCUGCUGGUAGGGCACCAAAGAUAAGAGAAUGCUACUUUAAAAGUAGGCAGGGGUGGAUUCAUCUAGAAAGUUGAAGAGGAAAACAGUAAAGUUGAUGCUUGUGUAAGGAGAGGAUUAGCUAGCGGUACAUAUAUAUGUUGAGUUAUGAUAGAGUUGCUAGAAAACAACUUGGAAGUCCAAAGUUCAAGUAAUGUUACUAGUCAAAGGAAAUUAUAUGGAAAAAGUAAGAUAUCCUAUUGUAGAGAAAAAAAUUACAUAGUUUGGGUUCCAUGGUGUUUUGAACUAGUGAUGUUUUGGUCACUGGAUAUAAAAGAGCUGUAUCUGCCAGAAGUGACGUCUUUUUAGCCCGGAGUAAUUUCCUGUGGUGGCCAGCAGUUGAUUUUUUAGUGAAGAAUACAUGAAAGUUGCACCUAUAUAGCAGUAUUUAUCCAGUAUAUUUUGUGACUUCCUGGAAGGGAAAUGGUGUGUUUGUAGGUAAUUGCUUUAAUGAGGUUUUCUUUAAUGAACUUACCUCCUUGAAUGCAUUAAAACUGUCCAUGUCUGCUGUGCCAUCUGGUCAUGAGUUUAGCAAUAUGUGUAGAAGACGCUUUUUUUUGAAGGCACAUGGACACCUUCUGAUUCUUGUAUUAUUAGAAAUGGAGAAUGAUUAUGCCACCUUCUCUUUUCUUGUGCAACCUGUGCUCCUACAUACCACUAUCAUAUCCUUACUUGAAACUUGAUCAUACCUUUUCUAGGCUGAAAAACGUGCUUAGGUGUUUCUCCCUGAAAGCUCCUCUGUUCUUUUUGAUCAUUGGAGAUGCUUGUCUGCAUAUUGUUCAGUUUUCCAGUUUACUUUUAGGGUGGGAAAGCCAUAAGAAUUCAAUACACAGGUGCAUUAUGGAGCUCUACAAUAUUCUAUCCCCUGCCCUGUUGCUUUCCUAAUGAUUCUUAAUACCUGUAGGAUCACUGAGUGUUGAGCUGGUGUCUUGUCAUGCAUAGCAGAACCUGAAAUUUAUUUCCCUUCUGGGAGGAAGUCACAUAACACUGAAGUUACAUAAACGUGUGUGGUGUUAAGAUUUACACUGGCUAUAUCUACAUAAACUGUCUUCCAGAUAAAAAUGCAGAUGUGUAGGUUUUUUUAGACUUAACUUCACUAGUAAUUGUAGAUUUCAUCACAAGGACACCAUUUCUAGAGAGAAUGUAACUACGUAUCAUUUCAUACUUAAUGCAGAAAUACUAACUUAAUUGAGAAAUUUAAUUAGGAAUAAGAAGUUCCAUAGCAGUAUUCCAUCUAGACAAUGACUUUGAAUGGGAAAACAGCUAUAGCAAGGAGAUGAACAACUGCAUUGAACAGUAGGUAUGCUGAGAAGGGACUCAAACUUCAGCUUUACAAGCAUUUGCAGAUAUUUACUGUAAAUUUUAUUUUGCUGAAUGCAUGAGUGUCUAGUUCUUUAGCAGAAAAAGGGUUGGAGGUUGCAGCACCAUCUUACAAGGAAGCAGUUCUGCUCUCAGCAAAAAUGCAAAGCACCUCAGCUACAACCAUUCAGCUCCUGGGCUGAAGUUACUUCUAUACUUUAUUGUUCAAGGUCUGCCUCUGUGUUGCAGUCCAGGCUUCUGUAAAAACAGUAAGCUGGUCUAUAAAAGAGAACAAGAGGAGGAGUUAAAGAAGAAGAUGGCCAUGGAUCCCCGAUGGAAGAGGUAUCGGAGGUGGAUGAAAAAUGAAGGACCCGGAAGGCUGACUUUUAUUGAUGAUUGAAAGUUGCUGAACAAAA